CAGGUCUGACUGUUAGCAAGUCCCAUGCUUCCACUCCUGUAACACCUAUAAAACAAACAGGUCAUGCUGUUGGUACAUCAAGUGACUCGGGUAGUUCUGUCUCUGCUUUCAUAACUUCAGUGAAACCAGCAUCAGAAACCAAUAUUACAGA